rnacentral:rRNA from 1 species
GAUGAACGCUGGCGGCGUGCUUAACACAUGCAAGUCGAACGGAAAGGCCCAGGUUUUGUGGGGUUCUCGAGUGGCGAACGGGUGAGUAACACGUGUGUGACCUGCCCUUGACUUUGGGAUAACACCAGGAAACUGGGGCUAAUACCGGAUAGGAGCUCCUGCUGCAUGGUGGGGGGUGGAGAGUUUCGGCGUGUGAGGAGCGCCUCGCGGCUCAUCAUCUUGUUGGGGGGGUGGUGUCUCACCACGGCUUCGCGGGGCCGCCGUCCUGAGAGGGUGACCGGCCACAUUGGGCCUGAGGGACGGCCCAGACGCGUACGGGGGGCAGCGGUGGGAAGUAUUGCACAAUGGGGGGAGGCGUGGUGCGGGAGCGCCGGGUGCGGAAUGACGGCUUUCGGGUGGUAAACCGCUUUCGCCUGUAACGAGGCGUGAGUGACGGUAAUGGGUGAAGAAGCACCGGCUAACUACGUG